CCUACGGGAGGCAGCAGUGAGGAAUAUUGGUCAAUGGGCGCUAGCCUGAACCAGCCAAGUAGCGUGAAGGAUGACGGCCCUAGGGGUUGUAAACUUCUUUUAUAUGGGAAUAAAGUGCAGUAUGCAUACUGAUUUGCAUGUACCUUACGAAUAAGGAUCGGCUAACUCCGUGCCAGCAGCCGCGGUAAUACGGAGGAUCCGAGCGUUAUCCGGAUUUAUUGGGGUUAAAGGGAGCGGAGGCGGGUUGUUAAGUCAGUUGUGAAAGUUUGCGGCUCAACCGUAAAAUUGCAAUUGAUACUGGCAGUCUUGAGUACAGUUGAGGUAGGCGGAAUUCGUGGUGUAGCGGUGAAAUGCUUAGAUAUCACGAAGAACCCCGAUUGCGAAGGCAGCUUACUAGACUGUGACUGACAUUGAGGCUCGAAAGUGUGGGUAUCAAACAGGAUUAGAUACCCGAGUAGUC
rnacentral:rRNA from 1 species